rnacentral:rRNA from 1 species
CAGUAGCCGCGGUAAUACGUAGGUCCCGAGCGUUGUCCGGAUUUAUUGGGCGUAAAGCGUGCGCAGGCGGUUAUGUAAGACAGGUGUGAAAUCCCCGGGCUUAACCUGGGAACUGCAUUUGUGACUGGCGAGCUAGAGUAUGGCAGAGGGGGGUAGAAUUCCACGUGUAGCAGUGAAAUGCGUAGAGAUGUGGAGGAAUACCGAAGGCGAAGGCAGCCCCUUGGGAAUGUACUGACGCUCAUGUGCGAAAGCGUGGGGAGCAAACAGGAUUAGAUACCCGAGUAGUCCCUGUCUCUUAUCC